rnacentral:tRNA from 1 species
GAGGUUGUGGCUCAGCAGUAGAGCGCUGGCCUAGCACGUUCGAAGCCCUGAGUUCAAAACUCAGCACCCACA